GACGAACGCUGGCGGCGUGCCUAAUACAUGCAAGUAGAACGCUGAAGGAGGAGCUUGCUCUUCUGGAUGAGUUGCGAACGGGUGAGUAACGCGUAGGUAACCUGCCUGGUAGCGGGGGAUAACUAUUGGAAACGAUAGCUAAUACCGCAUAACAGUGGAUGUUGCAUGACAUUUACUUAAAAGGUGCAAUUGCAUCACUACCAGAUGGACCUGCGUUGUAUUAGCUAGUUGGUGGGGUAACGGCUCACCAAGGCGACGAUACAUAGCCGACCUGAGAGGGUGAUCGGCCACACUGGGACUGAGACACGGCCCAGACUCCUACGGGAGGCAGCAGUAGGGAAUCUUCGGCAAUGGACGGAAGUCUGACCGAGCAACGCCGCGUGAGUGAAGAAGGUUUUCGGAUCGUAAAGCUCUGUUGUAAGAGAAGAACGAGUGUGAGAGUGGAAAGUUCACACUGUGACGGUAUCUUACCAGAAAGGGACGGCUAACUACGUG
rnacentral:rRNA from 1 species